rnacentral:rRNA from 1 species
AUACGUAGGUGACAAGCGUUAUCCGGAUUUACUGGGCGUAAAGGGCGUGUAGGCGGUCUUGCAAGUCAGAAGUGAAAUUCCUGAGCUCAACUCGGGCGCUGCUUCUGAAACUGCAGGACUUGAGUGCUGGAGGGGAUAGCGGAAUUCCUAGUGGAGCGGUAAAAUGCGCAGAUAUUAGGAAGAACACCGGUGGCGAAGGCGGGUAACGGGACAGUAACGUACGCUGAGGCGCGAAAGCGGGGGGAGCAAACAGGAUUAGAUACCCUGGUAGUCCCCGCCGUAAACGAUGAAUACUAGGUGUAGGGGGUAUCGACUCCCUCUGUGCCGCAGUUAACACAAUAAGUAUUCCGCCUGGGGAGUACGGCCGCAAGGUUGAAACUCAAAUGAAUUGACGGGG